AGAGUUUGAUCCUGGCUCAGGAUGAACGCUAGCUACAGGCUUAACACAUGCAAGUCGAGGGGAAACGACAUCGAAAGCUUGCUUUUGAUGGGCGUCGACCGGCGCACGGGUGAGUAACGCGUAUCCAACCUGCCCACCACUUGGGGAUAACCUUGCGAAAGUAAGACUAAUACCCAAUGAUAUCUCUAGAAGACAUCUGAAGGAGAUUAAAGAUUUAUCGGUGAUGGAUGGGGAUGCGUCUGAUUAGCUUGUUGGCGGGGUAACGGCCCACCAAGGCAACGAUCAGUAGGGGUUCUGAGAGGAAGGUCCCCCACAUUGGAACUGAGACACGGUCCAAACUCCUACGGGAGGCAGCAGUGAGGAAUAUUGGUCAAUGGACGAGAGUCUGAACCAGCCAAGUAGCGUGCAGGAUGACGGCCCUAUGGGUUGUAAACUGCUUUUAUAAGGGAAUAAGGUGAGUCUCGUGAGAUUUUUUGCAUGUACCUUAUGAAUAAGGACCGGCUAAUUCCGUGCCAGCAGCCGCGGUAAUACGGAAGGUCCGGGCGUUAUCCGGAUUUAUUGGGUUUAAAGGGAGCGUAGGCCGGAGAUUAAGCGUGUUGUGAAAUGUAGAUGCUCAACAUCUGCACUGCAGCGCGAACUGGUUUCCUUGAGUACGCACAAAGUGGGCGGAAUUCGUGGUGUAGCGGUGAAAUGCUUAGAUAUCACGAAGAACUCCGAUUGCGAAGGCAGCUCACUGGAGCGCAACUGACGCUGAAGCUCGAAAGUGCGGGUAUCGAACAGGAUUAGAUACCCUGGUAGUCCGCACGGUAAACGAUGGAUGCCCGCUGUUGGUCUGAAUAGGUCAGCGGCCAAGCGAAAGCAUUAAGCAUCCCACCUGGGGAGUACGCCGGCAACGGUGAAACUCAAAGGAAUUGACGGAA
rnacentral:rRNA from 1 species